GAAACAUCUGAAAUUAAUGGAGCAUUCCCUUCCUUUCAGUUUAUGUACCUUUGGAUGAAUCACUUAUUGCUAAAAUGAGGCAGGGCUCAGAGUGUGGAAAUCUCAUUUACAUAAAUAAGUUAACAAAAUAGAAAAAGUCUAAUUAUAACGAUGUCACUCAUUUCUGUAAACAUCAGCUGUAUUGGAUCAGCCAAAAACACAUUAUAAUACAUAAUAAUUUUAUUUUAAUUUUCUAUGUGUUGGAUAUCUUCUAUUUAUCAUUCUAGAUCUAUACCAUCCUCUUCUACGUUACUUCUUCCCUGGAGGCUGACCUGUAUGGACUAUAUCAGCAUGCUUGCCUUCUUGCGUCCAGCUGGAUUUUACCAAUGAGUACCUCUUGGCAGGAGAUUAGAGGAAGAGAAGAGAUGGCUAUUUAUUCUCCCAGCUCCUUCCCUGAAAAAUUACAUCCCCUUUCAAGCAUCCGACAGAUGCCAGCAUUCCUUGGCUUGUGACUGCAUACGCCUCAAUCUUCACAUGGUUUUUCUUCCGCCUGUGUGGCUCUCCUUUGUGUGUCCCUUAUAGGAACACUUGUCAUUGGAUGAGUGUCCCCCUAGAUAAGACAGGUUGAUAUCCUCAUCUCAAGAUCUUUAACUUAGCUACAUCUGCAAAGACCCCUUUUCCAAGUAAGGUAACAUUCACAGGUUCUGGGAAUUAGGACAUAAGCAUUUAUUUGGGGGCCACUAUUCAACCCACUGUAAGGACCAAGAGUUUUUUGCAUAUCAUAUUUGCUUGUGGCUUCUCUAAUCAAGAGAUGAGGGUAAACUGUAUCUGGUCUGACCUUGGGACUUGUUUUGACCAGUAGAAUACAGCAGACAUGACAUUCUAGGACUUUUGGGUCCAGGCCUGCAAUGGUCACAUAGCCUCUGCUUUUGAUCAGAGGGAAAAACAGCUGCUAUGUGAGGAAGUUCACUUAUUGUCCUUGAGAGAGUGGCCAUAUGGAGAGAAAAAACCUCUGAUGCAUGAGACACUAUGGAAGGAUGUAGAAAGAAGCCCAGCCAGCCCCUGAACUACAGGUAAAAACUGGAAGAACAAUGGGACUAUUUAUGGAAGUUAGAAGACCAGUAAGCAAAUUACUAUUGGAGGCUGGAGAAGAAUGCCCAAUAUUAAGUAGUGAGGAAACAUUUGAAAAAACUAUUAUGUGCAGAAAUAUAAAGAUAGAAAAUAUACCUAAGGAUUUUGUGGAUCUGGCUAAGCAGGUUUCCAGGCAAUUUUUUUUUUUUUUUUUUUUUUUUUGAGACAGAGUCUCGCUGUGUCGCCCAGGCCGGAGUGCAGAGGCGCGAUCUCAGCUCACUGCAACCUCCACCUCCCGGGUUCACGUCAUUCUCCUGCCUCAGCCUCUCUAGUAGCUGGGACUACAGGUGCCUGCCACCACGCCUGGCUAAUUUUUUUGUAUUUUUAGUAGAGAUGUGGUUUCACCGUGUUAGCCAGGAUGGUCUCAAUCUCCUGACCUCGUGAUCCACCCGCCUCGGCCUCCCAAAGUGCUGGGAUUACAGGCAUGAGCCACCGCGCCUGGCCUCCAGGCAAAAUUUUGCAUGUGCAACUGGCUUCUGAUGUGGUUUGUCUGUGUCCCCACCCAAGAUGUCCCCUCAUCUUGAAUUGUAACUCCCACAAUUCCCACGUGUUGUGGGAGGAACCUGGUGGGAGGUAGUUGAAUUAUGGGGCAGAUCUUUCCUGUGCUGUUCUCGUGACAGUGAAUAAGCCUCAUGAGAUCUGAUGGUUUUAAAAACAGGAGUUUUCUUGCACAAGCUCUCUUCUCUUGUCUGCUGCCAUGUGAGAUGUGCCUUUCACCUUCUACCAGGAUUGUGAGGCCACCCCAGCAACGUGGAACUGUAAGUCCAUUAAACUUCUUUCUUUCGUUGCAAAUUUCCAAGUCUUGGGUAUGUCUUUAUCAGCAGCAUGAAAAUGGACUAAUUGGUACCAGUAGAGUGGGGUGCUGCUGAAAAGAUACCCAAAAAUGUGGAAGUGACUUUGGAACUGGGUAACAGGCAGAGGUUGGAACAGUUUGGAGGGCUCAGAAGACAGGAAAAUGUGAGAAAGUUUGGAAUUUCCUAGAGACUUGUUGAAUGGCUUUGCCAAAAAUGCUGAUAGCAAUAUGGACAGGCUGAAGUGGUCUCAGAUGGAAAUGAGGAACUUGUUAGGGAUGAGAGCAAAGGUGACUCUUGUUAUGUUUUAGCAAAGAGACUGGUGGCACUUUGCCCCUGCCCUAGAGAGUUGUGAAACUUUGAACUUGAGAGAGAUGAUUUAGGGUAUCUGGCAGAAGAAAUUUCUAAGCAGCAAAGCAUUUAAAAGGUGACCUGUGUGCUGUUGAAGGCAUUCAGUUUUAUAAGGGAAGCAGAGCAUAAAAGUUCAGAAAAUUUGUAGCCUGACAAUUCGAUAGAAAAGAAAACCCUAUUUUCUGAGGAGAAAUUCAAGCUGGCUGCAGAAAUUUGCAUAACUAACUAGGAGCCAAAUGUUAAUCCCCAACACAAUGAGGAAAAUGUCUCCAAUGUGUCAGAGGUCUUCAUGGCAGCCCCUCCCAUCACAGGCCUGGAGGCCUAGGAGGAAUAAGUGGUUUCGUGGGCAGGUCCCAAGGUACCUGUGCUGUGUCCAGCCUAGGCUGUGGCUCAGGCUGUGGCUUCAGAGGGUGCAAGCCUCAAGCCCUGGCAGCUUCCAUGUGGUGUUGAGCCUGCCAGUGCAAAGAAGUCAAGAAUUGGGCUUUGGGAACCUCCGCCUGGAUUCCGGAGGGUGUAUGGAAACACCUGGAUGUCCAGGCAGAAGUUUGCUGCAGGGGCAGGGAUCUCUUGGGGAACCUCUUCUAGGGCAGUGCAGGAGGGAAAUGUGUGGUUGGAGCUCCCACAGAGAGUUCCUACUGGGGCAACACCUAGUUGGGCUGUGAGAAGAAGGCCACCAUCCUCCAGACCCCAGAAUGAUAGAUCCAUCGACAGCUUGUACCAUGCACCUGGAAAAGCCACAGACACUCAAUGCCUGCCACGACAGCAGCCAGGAGAGGGAUUAUACCCUGCAAAGCCACAGAGGCAGAGCUGACUGAGACCAUGGGAACCUACUUCUUUCAUCAGCAUAACCUGGAUGUGAGACUUGGAGUCAAAGAAGAUCAUUUUGGAGCUUUAAGAUUUGACUGACCCACUGGAUUUUGGACAUGCAUGGGGCCUAUAGCCCCUUUGUUUUGACCAAUUUCUCUCAUUUGGAAUGACAGUAUUUACCCAAUGCCUAUACCCCCAUUGUAUCUAGGAAGUAACUAACUUGCUUUUGAUUUUACAGGCUCAUAGGUGGAAGGGACUUGCUUUAUCUUAGAUGAAACUUUGGACUGCGGACUUUUGAGUUAAUGCUGAAAUGAGUUAAGACUUUAGCGGACUGUUGGGAAGGCAUGAUUGGUUUUGAAAUGUGAAGACAUGAGAUUUGGGAGGGGCCGGGGCAGAAUGGUGUGGUUUGGCUGUGUCCCUACCAAAAUCUCAUCUUGAAUUGUAACUCCCAUAAUUCCUAUGUGUCAUGGGAGGAACCUGGUGGGAGGUAAUUGAGUUAUGAGGGCGGGCCUUUCUUGUGCUGUUCUAGUGAUAGUGAAUAAGUCUUGUGAGAUCUUAUGGUUUUAAAAAUGGGAGUUUCCCUGCACAAGCUCUCUUCUCUUGUCUGCCACCAUGUGAGUCAUGCCUUUCACCUUCCACCAUGAUUGUGAGGCCUCCCCAGCCACAUGGAAACGUAAGUCCAUUAAACCUCUUUUUUUUUUGUUACAAAUUGCCCAGUCUUGAGUAUGUCUUUAUAGCAGCAUGAAAAUGGACUAAUACAGCCUCUUAUACCUACAUAUUAUAAGGUAUUGCAAAAAUGAUAUUGACUAAACAGGAAUGAUUCCAUUUUCAAGUCAAAUGUAGAGAAAAUAUUUCCAACUGAGGACUUGCUGAGUUGGAAAAUAAAACAUUUUCUCAUUCCUACAUUCUUGAGUUAGAAAAAUGUUCUAAAAGUGAGAAAGGGCCCAGGAAAAAGGUAGAAUUCAAGACAUUGUCAAUAAAAUGUGGCCUUAGUGUAAAGAUCAAAUCAACAGUGUAGUUACAAGAUCCCUAAUUUAACUCAGUGCCUCAUCAACCUUCUCAGCUAGACAAAACAGCUUGUAAGAAUUUUAAGAAUAUUGUUCCACAAUGCUCUGACUCAAAGCCUGCAUUAGAGAGGGGCUUGUCUUGAAGAGAUUUGUAUGUGUGACUUUUUCACUUAUAAUAACAUUUAUUUUGGAUUUCAAAUUUAGAAUUUGAUACACAGGAAGCACAUUAAAUUUCUUAAGGUAUUAUAUCAGCUUGUACUAAAGGACAUGGAAGGUGAAAAAUGAAAAAAGGUCUUUUUUUUUCAUUUCAUUUUUCUCUGGGCCCUCAACUUGCUUUGUGAAAGGUAGACUGGGACAGCUACAUGAUGGCAAACAUGGAAAAUUUCCUAUGAACAAAGGAAAUAUGAUUCAGAAGGUAGAGCCCAGAGCCCUGCAAACAAAAGUAUAAGCUAUUAGAAGCAAUGGAUUAGGUAAUCACUUCCGUAUAGCAAAACUGGACCUGAAUCAAGAAACAUUCCUUGCCUCCAGAUUAGGGGACACUGAUAAGAUGAGCCUGGUUGUAUUUCAGAAUUUCUAUUGACUAGUGACUGCUUUGUGCCUUCAUUUCUCCCUUUUAUAAAUGAAUGUCUAAUGUGGUUAUUCUAGUCUGUCUUAACAUUAUAUUGUUGGGCAUGGAGGUACAGAUAACUUGCAUUUUUGCUUCACAGUUCAUAUCGAAAGGAGCUGCACUUAUGAAAUUUCAUGCACAUCUGUAUGAUCCCAAUGUAGAUCAAGAGAUACUGGGCAUAGGAUGUGAUAUUAUAAUUUGUUGAGACUUUGGGAGUCUUUGAAACAGUUGACUAUAGUUUGCAUAUGGAAGUAAUGUGAGUUUUUGUGGCCAGAGGGCAGACUGUGGGAGACUGUAUGUAACUACAGCCAGUAAGAAUUAUUCAUGCACUUGCCAGUUCUCUGACCGAGAGAGCACAUCUGUUUACUCAUACCUUGAAUCUGUACUGAACUUGUAAUUUUUUUUGACAAAUUUAAUGCAGCAGAAGUCAUAUUCUUGGAUUUUUGAGCCCAGACAUUCAAAUGUCAUAUAGCUUCUGUUUUCGCUCAGAGAGGAAACAAGCAGCUA